UCGAGUUUUGAAACGGGUUGUAGCUGGCCUUUCUAAUCGAAAGGCAUGUGCACGCCUGACUCAUUCCACUCUCAAACCUCUGUGCACUUAUUGUAGGCUCGGUGGAAGAGGCUGACUUUCGUUAGUCGGUUUCGAAAAAGCCUUGCCUAUGUCAUCACAUACGCUUCAGUUCAGAAUGUAACUCUUGCGGAUAACGCAAAUAAAUA
rnacentral:misc_RNA from 1 species